UGGGGAAUUUUGGACAAUGGGGGAAACCCUGAUCCAGCCAUCCCGCGUGUGCGAUGAAGGCCUUCGGGUUGUAAAGCACUUUUGGCAGGAAAGAAACGUCAUGGGUUAAUACCCCGUGAAACUGACGGUACCUGCAGAAUAAGCACCGGCUAACUACGUGCCAGCAGCCGCGGUAAUACGUAGGGUGCAAGCGUUAAUCGGAAUUACUGGGCGUAAAGCGUGCGCAGGCGGUUCGGAAAGAAAGAUGUGUAAUCCCAGAGCUCAACUUUGGAACUGCAUUUUUAACUACCGGGCUAGAGUGUGUCAGAGGGAGGUGGAAUUCCGCGUGUAGCAGUGAAAUGCGUAGAUAUGCGGAGGAACACCGAUGGCGAAGGCAGCCUCCUGGGAUAACACUGACGCUCAUGCACGAAAGCGUGGGGAGCAAACAGG
rnacentral:rRNA from 1 species